CCGUUUGCCUAUUAUGGACAAGGGUUGCUUCUGCCUUCUAGAUAAUGUAAAUAACGUUGUUAACAAUGUAGGUUUACAAAUAUCUUCUCUGGUUCCUCUGGACCCGCUGGCAGGUGGGAAUGAAGUUUCUGUAUCUUCAGUGCUGACUUUGAUACUGAGUCAUCAAAUGACCUUCACCAGGUGAGGAAGUCACUAGUCUCUGACCAGCUUUCCUGCUUGGAGCAGCUGUUCUCCUCUGACAGUGAGCAUAAGUUGCUGGCCACAGUGUCUUCAUUCGGCCUCUGUCUCAUUCUCUUGGUGCCAGUUUCUUCACCUUACAAAUGGGAACAAUGUAUUCCUCUCCUCUCUCUCAGAGAGCUGCUGUGCCAGACAAAGGCGUUGAGGACCAGCUGUAGGGAAGGAAAUUGAAGGGCUGGAGAACUAUGGAAUGAGAAGAUACAAGGAAGGAACCAAGAACCCAGUGAGAGGUGACUAGUAUGACGGUGGGUGUCAUUUCUCUCUCCCCAUUCCCUCCCAGCCACCUUUCCCUCCCACUCGUCCCUCCUGGCUCCUUGUUUGUGAUUCCUCGCUGCCUUGUUUAACUAUCAGAACCCGUGCCAAAACCCAUACUUAGCUGCUGAAAGCUCCUUGCCGGGUUGCCUCUGAAGUUAAUGGCAGAGUCUUUGAAAAUGACCUUAGAAGCAAAUCAUAAGCAACCGAGGACAUGAAACUACCUCAAGUCCGUCUGUUGGAGUGCGAGCCACCUCCAAGCUUCCAUUCCCAUGUAAAACAGAAGAUAUGAUUUAUAAUUUAUAGCGCAUCGGUACAGCCCUGAUUGAAGCAAACCACUUUGAUGAAGAGUUGGUUUCAUGCUAGUGUCGUGGAACACCACUCCAAAUCAGAAAAUAUUUAGAACUCCAACUCCUCUGCUCUGACUUUGAAGUAAAGAGAUUUGUAUUUUAUGUGCUUCUCUGAACGAAAAAAAAAUAAAGAAAAAUGUGUGUACACUCCAACAUGCAUGUGGUAGGAAUAUGAAAACAUUUACAUGUGUAUCAGCACCAAAAUGUAAUUACUGCAUUAGGCACUGAAAAUAUUUAUAGACUCAUAUCUCAUGUGGAAGACCUGGUUCCAAUAAUUCUCAGAAAAUUGUGAAAUUCAGACUUUGUUUUCUUGGGACUAACUUAAUUUAUUUGAAAUUGACAACACAUGAAGGACAAAAAUCAAAGCCCGUCAACUUUCCACCACCCCAGCUAAUGACCUAUUAAAGUUGUGAGUAUA